UGAAUAUCAUGUUAGUUUAGUUCGAAUUCAUCGAUUUGCUUGUUUAUUAAAAUCUGAAUUUGGAGCAUAUAGUAGAGAUUUAGAUAAAUUAUGCAUUUUGGAUUUGAAAUUUGACUUAGGAGAAAACUAUCAAUUCUACACCGUCAUUUUUUGAAACUACCAGAUUUAACUCUAGAAGCCGUAGGUUGUUUGUAUCACCGCAGUUUGCGGGCAAUGGAUACUCAGGAUAGUAUAGAAUGUAUUUAUGCUCGUGCUGGGAUGCCGAGUAUAUUGUUACAGUAGAGUGUAGAGUGUUCCGGACUGUUGGGUACCGUUGUGGUUGACAGUGGACCUAGUUUGCUAUUUUUGCAUCGGAUUGUGCCAAGAACACGUAGAUUAUGGUUGUUAGACUAGUUAAACCUUUCUACUUUGAUACAGCCUGUGAGAGCCUGAUUGAGCUUGGUAGAGAUACGCUUGCAUACUCGGUUGGGUAGCGCCCACGAGUGCCACUCCGGAGUCGGGCUUUGUGUUUUUGCGUUGAUGUCGGUUUGUUCUGAGGUUUCAGUGUGAUGAGAUUGCAGUUUCUGUUUGGACGGUUUUUGAGCUAGAUUCAGGCAGGGUGGGUCCGUUUGGGCAGCCUGUGUGAGGUUGGAUCAGUAGUAGUUAGUGACG
rnacentral:lncRNA from 1 species